AACCAUAGAAACCUGCGGAGUACCUGCGGAGGGAUCAUUAUAGUAUAUGGAAUCUCCAUUCUAUAAACCCACUCUGCGUAUCUUGUAACUGUUGCUUCCAUGGGACUUGGUUCCGCCACACCGGCUUCACGGCUGGUGAGCGCCCAUGGAAGGAGAAACAAAACUCUUCUUUGAAAUGUAGUCAGUCUGAACGAGUUUUUAUAAACGUUAAAACUUUUAGCAAUGGAUCUCAGAUCGGAA
rnacentral:misc_RNA from 1 species